rnacentral:ncRNA from 1 species
UAAAAAUGUUUAUAGUUUGAGUAAUUUAUUUAAAGUUUAUUUUACAUAUAAAUUUUAGUGUGAAAUUUGAAUUUAUUUUAAUAAUAAAUUAAUUUAUUUAUAGUAAUUAAUAUUAAAUUAUUUAAGAAAUUAAGAUUUAGUAAUAUUUAAAUUAAUAACAAAUUUUGUGCCAGCAGUUGCGGUUAAACAAAAAUUAAAUUAAAUUUUAUUAGUAAUUAAUAAAUAAAUCAAAAUUAUAAUUUAAAAUUUAAAUUAUUAGGUGAAAUUUUAAUUUAUAAAAAUAUUAUUUUAAUUUUAUGAUUUAAUAAAUUUUAUUAAAAACUAGGAUUAGAUACCCUAUUAUGAAAAUUUUAAAUUAAAAUACUAAAAUAGUAAGUGAGAAUUCAUUGAAACUUAAAUAAUUUGGCGGUAUUUUAGUUCAUUUAGAGGAAUCUGUUUAAUAAUUGAUAAUCCACGAAUAAAUUUACUUAAUUUUUAAUUUUGUAUAUCGUUGUUAAAAAAAUAUUUUUUAAUAAAAAUAAUAUUUAAAAAUUUAAAUUUAAAAUUAAAUCAGAUCAAGAUGCAGAUUAUAAUUAAGAAUAUAAUGGAUUACAAUAAAUUUAUUUAAAUGGAUAUAAAUUUGUAAAAAUUAGUUGAAAGUGGAUUUAAAUGUAAUUUUAUUUAAUUUAAUAAAAUGAUUAUAAAUUGAAAUAUGUACAUAUUGCCCGUCGCUUUCAUAUAUAAAUAUAAAUUGGAAUAAGUCGUAACAAAGUAGAGGUACUGGAAAGUGUUUCUAGAAAG